rnacentral:lncRNA from 1 species
CCUAACCUAAGCUAACAUGACAAUUAAAUUAACUCAACUAAACAAAAUAGACAAUAUUAAAGUAAACAGAAACAAUUAAACCAAACAUAUUAGACAUCAUUAAAGUGAAUGAAAACACUAAACUGAAAUAUUAAGGUGCGUGAAGAGUAAAAUAAAAUGAAAAUCCAACGAGUAAGCCAAAUGACGAGACACUGAUUGAAACGACUAUCAAUGCAAGACUCUGUAAAAUUCAAGUAAUGAGCCAAAAUGAGAAUUGAUGAUUGUUACCAUGCUCAUCCAUCAACGAACAACAUUUAGAACAAAAAUUAAAUACUUGAACAGUAGAGUUAAAGUGAAAAUGAGUAAGGUACUUUUCUAAAAGCCAAAAUUUAAGUCUACUAAUAAAAAUGGACGUGACAACUCCCUUCAAAAUGAAUGGUCUAUCUCUAAACAAAAGAGUUGCUUCUGCCUCCUACGUAACCUGUGAGCUUCUUCCAGUACGUUGCUUCCUCCCAGGCGGUGACACCAUGUGCGCCAUUGAUGAGAAUUCAAUUCCCCAUGGGUGGCGGCUUGCGUGACAGCACACUCUCCUUUUAUAUCCUCCCAAUGUGCCUUUCCUUUUUCCCGACCUACUCCAUGUGUUUCCACAUUGCUGGACAUCCAACAUUCAUUGCCCAUGGGUCAGCUUGCUUCUAGCGUGGGUGUGCUUUUGUGGGUGCUGCUGGACACACCUCCUCAAGACCGUGACAGCACCUCUUCAAGCUACUGGAUUGUUGACUCUGGACUGCUGCUGCCCAUUUCUCUCUAAUUGGAUCAGCGCUUGCAGCCCACUUGCCAAGACGUGAUCUCCUUGUUGGACCGUUUCAAGCUGGAUAGGAGCUGCUGUGUGCGUGGGCCGUGAAGUGUUGCUGCUGUACGCGUGGAGCUGUGGCUGGAUGAAGCCCGUUUCAUUUUCUCUUCUUGCUGGAGGUUCUGCUGGCCGUGUGCACCUCCCAUGCUUUGAUGGAC